GGCCUGGUGGUCUAGUAGUAUGAUUCCUUCUUAGGGUAUGCAUAGUGUGGUUACCGAAGUUGGAGGAGGUCCCGGGUUCAAUUCCCGGCCAGGCCC